AUUGAACGCUGGCGGCAGGCCUAACACAUGCAAGUCGAGCGGAUGAAGGGAGCUUGCUCCUGGAUUCAGCGGCGGACGGGUGAGUAAUGCCUAGGAAUCUGCCUGGUAGUGGGGGAUAACGUCCGGAAACGGGCGCUAAUCCCGCAUACGUCCUGAGGGAGCAAGUGGGGGAUCUUCGGACCUCACGCUAUCUGAUGAGCCUAGGUCGGAUUAGCUAGUUGGUGGGGUAACGGCCUACCAAGGCGACGAGCCGUAACUGGUCUGAGAGGAUGGUCCGACAGACGGGAAGUGAGAAAGAGCCCAGACUCCGACGGUAAGAAGCAGUGGAGAAUAUUGGGCGAUGGGCGAGAGCCUGAUCCAGCAAUGCCGCGUGUGUGAUGAACGUGCUCUGAUGGGAAAGCAAUGUAAGUUGUGGGGUAGGGCAGUAAGUUUAUACGUGACUGUAUUGACGGUACCAGCAGAAUAAGCACCGGCUAACUUCGUG
rnacentral:rRNA from 1 species